rnacentral:rRNA from 1 species
UACGUAGGGGGCAUGCGUUGUCCGGAUUUAUUGGGCGUAAAGAGCGUGUAGGCGGUUAGGUAGGUCCGUUGUGAAAACUCGAGGCUCAACCUCGAGACGCCGAUGGAAACCAUCUAACUAGAGUCCGGAAGAGGAGAGUGGAAUUCCUGGUGUAGCGGUGAAAUGCGCAGAUAUCAGGAAGAACACCCGUGGCUAAGGCGGCUCUCUAGUACGGUACUGACGCUGAGGCGCGAAAGCGUGGGGAGCAAACAGG